ACAGCAAUGCCACUCUUGCUGCAAACAUUGGGAUCAGCCGUGACUAUCCCAUAACAUAAUAUUUCUGAUUUCAUUCUUUUCCUUUCUCCUACCAAUUUAAUCUGCAAUCACUUCAAGAGAAGUCUGUUUAAAGGAUAUUCACAUUCUGUUCACAGAGUUUGAGAGAAACUGUAUUCAAGUUGCUGAAACCAAGAAGCUACACUCACGAGUCUCACCUAAACUCGAAUCUGAUUUAGAUGACAUCAUCCUGGACUUUGAGUUGAUGAAACCUUGGAGGUCUUGGGAGUAAAGCAAGUGUGAUUUGCAUAUGAUGGAUAUGAAUUGUAAUGGCCAGAGCAUGGCUGUGAGAUGAAAACUCCCAUUUUAGGGAACCAAGACUGAAUUCCAUAAUUUACAUGGAUGUUUGGAAGGUGUCUGCAACUUAAUCUGUGUUCGUUUCUGAGAUGUUGGGCAACUCCUUCUUGGAAGAUGUGGUAAUGGUCUCUUCGAAAAGAAAAUAAUCAUCUGAGUUUUGGCCAAAAUAGUUGAUCGGAUUACCUAUGAAAAUGACUCUCACCCAACUACAAGAAUGUUAUGAUGUAGAAACUCUAAAUAUAUGAGUAAUUAACUAUACAACACUCCAUCCCCAUGUGAAAAUCUUUAAUCUUUUAAGAUACUGAAAUUUUGUGUAUGUCUCAUAAUUUUCUGUAUAUGGUCAAUGAGUUUUGCCUUAGCCAUAAGUGGUCUGUCUGAAAUCUUCUCUAUUAUUUGUGCAUUUUCUUCCUGAUGUACCAAGCCUAGUCUGUUUGUUUUUUCCUAAGAGAAAAGCAGAUGAUUCAACUGUGUAUUUCUCAGUGUUGAUAUUGUGGUUUGAGGUAUUUCAUAAUCUUGAGUAAAAUCUUGUCAAUUUUAUGCUAUGCCUUGUGGGAACAUAUUUUUACUUUUAAGUCUCUUUGGCAAGUGGAGCUUCCUUUGUGUUUCCUCACCAAAUGUAUUCCCCAUUGUUUUCUGAUUAAUUCUUUUUCAGAAUGUUUACUCCUUCUUACCUCAAUGUCAUUACUUUUCAGUCUUGGCUUUGGGUAAACCUAGGACAAGAAUUGGAUAUCCAAAGCCAAUUUCAAUAUAAAAACUAUAAUAUCUAUCAAAAUCUAUGUAAAAUCCUGUGUAUAUUUCUCUUCUUUGUUGAACAGGGGCUUAUAAUCAUGUAGGUAAAUACACGUGGUUUUGAUUUCAGCACUGAUUACUGAAGAUUUGUCUUCCAUUCUUCUGGGCCAGGCCCAUACACAACCAUAGUUAGAAGUAAAAACUAUUUGUUAUACCUGGAAUGCCUUUCCUUUCAAUCUCUGAAUGUCUAAAAUUACUUUUUCUUUGAAGACCACCUCAGGUGACCCUACUGUGGGGAAAAUGCCUGAAUUAUCUUUGUAAUCCCAGCUCAGCCACUUAAAGAUUGUGUAAGUUUAGUGUCAGCAUAUUACUUAAGUUCUUUUAGAUUUAGUUUCCUCAUAUGUAAGCUGGGGAUAAUAAUACCUACCUCAUAGAAAAUGAAUGAGAAUCAAGUUAUAUAAUAUAUGAACAACACUUGACACUGUGUGUGAACACUCAAUACAUGUAAAUCAUUAUUAUUAGCAAAAUGAUUAUUAGGUUCUCAUGCUAAUCCACAAUUUUUAUUGGCAGAUAUCCAUUAGUUUAUAGUUAAUGUUAUUCAUAAUCUUUUCUUCAUAUUCAAAUAGGAAGAGAUGACUUCUCAAUCUAGUUAAUCCUGGAUGUGUAUUUCUCUUAAUUUAUUGAGUGUAAAAUGCUUAUUUAUAUACAUACAAUUUCCCUUAUUAGUGAACAUCUAGAAGGCAGAAUGGUACUUCAUUUCUUUCUGUAUGUUUAGCACCAAGGACAGUACCUGGCACAUAGAAGAUACAUAUUAAAAACAAAUAAAACAACUCUUAAUGGAUCUCAUUUUAAAAAAAUUCUCGGUUAAUUAUAAAGGCUCUAGUAAACCAAAUAAUUGUAUGUUAACUUAUUUACUUUUAUUACUGUGUUUAUUUUCUCCAACUGCUUCAUCAUACAAAGUAAACACCUGAAUGUAAGCUGCAUGAGGGCAAGAGCUGUGUCUUGUUUACUGCUCUCAAGAACAUUUGAGCAAAGUGCCUGGCACAUGGCAGACACUCAAUAAGUUACAAUUAAUACUCAAUGUAUGAACUGAUCUAUACUUAGAAUUGACUAAGAAGAAUAAGUCUUACACAGACUCAGUCUCUGAGAACUUGAAAAUCUAAGUUUGCAUAUCUCUGCUGUUGUGUUUUCAGGUUACUCAGUAGAAAACCAAGUUAUUUACACAUCCUCAAGUGUCUCAAGGUUAAAUCUUCCAUGCAUAAAAUAUCUGGGCGAUUGAUUGUGUUUCUUACUUUGCUCCUAAGUAUGUUAGCAUCAUAUAGGCAUAGCCUAAGCCAGACCAAAAUGAAUUCAUUGAUUGACUCAACAAAUGUUUAUGGAUCUCAGAUAUUAUAUGGAGAUGGUGUCAAACAACGGGAUGUGCUAUGGAAUUUGAUGUGGAGGCUGAAGGAAAGAGGAAUCUAGGCGGACUCACAGAUUUUUUGGCUUGAGUAACUUGGACAUUAUGGUGAGUUAUUGAACGGAAGUCUAGGGAUUGUUCAACCCCUGAAAACAGACCACAUCCCAUUGCAGGAGGAAAUUUGG
rnacentral:lncRNA from 1 species